GAUGAACGCUGGCGGCGUGGAUAAGGCAUGCAAGUCGAACGAACCUUGGAAGACGGAUUUCUUCGGAAUGAAAUUUUCCUCUGGUUAGUGGCGAACGGGGUAGUAAUGCGUGGGAAUGAACCUCAAAGUCAGGAAUAGCCCGUCGAAAGGCGGAUUAAUACCUGAUGGUCCCUCCGGGGUAAAGAUUUAUCGCUUUGAGAUCAGCCUGCGUGGUAUCAGCUUGUUGGUAGUGUAAAGGACUACCAAGGCUAUGACGCCUAGGGGAGGUGAGAGCCUGACCCCCACCAUUGGAACUGCGACACGGUCCAAACUCCUACGGGAGGCUGCAGUCGAGAAUCUUCCACAAUGAACGAAAGUUUGAUGGAGCGACGCCGCGUGAUUGAUGAAGCCCUUAGGGGUGUAAAGAUCUUUUAUGAGUGAAGAAAUUAUUGACAUUAGCUCAUGAAUAAGGGGCUCCUAAUCUCG
rnacentral:rRNA from 1 species